UUAACUUUGUGUGCCAUUAUGGUCUCCCACAAAGAUGAGUCAUCGCUGGCCUUCUAGGUUGUGUGUGAUGAGUGAUGAUGAUGCAUUGAGGUUAAGGUCGUACCUUAGGUUUUAUCAUGCAGUUGAAGUUCCUGUGUAUUACCAGGCUUUGAGGAAUGGUGAUAGGUAUCCUAGGGACAAGGAUCGGUUUAUAACUAGUUAUGUAAGGAUCUCUCAUCAGGUUUAUAAUACUGUUGAUGAUUAUGAGAGGCUUAAGACUGCGAUUAAUCAACUUGUGGAGGACGGGAAAGUUUGCAGUGGGAUUCCUAAGGAGUGAUUUGAAAGAAAAAGAAUGAAUGAGAACAUAUCUUAACUCAAUCAUGGCUCCAAAUUAGUGUGAGAGAAUGGACAAAUGCAGCUUAUGUAGAGUGUGCACAUGCAAUUCCAAAAUGGCAAGGUCUUCUACCAAAAUCUGGAGAGAUGUUCCUAGGAACUUCAAAUUAUUUGAAGAGUUUGAGAGAGGUGAGAAGGGAAUUGGAGAUGGAACUAUUAGCUAUGGAAUGGAUGAUGCUGAUGAUAUCUACAUGCAAUCCUGGACUGGACUAUUAUUGGCCCCCCUGGUAACUUUGCAAGGCAUUCAAAUUAUACAAGCUGCCGUUGGGGCUGGGAGGACAAUGUUGGGAAGCUUUAUGCAUUUGGUGCUGGAGACAAAGGACAACUAGGAAUUGAACUUGUUGCUAAUCAGACUGAAAGGGAAAAUCCAGAAAGGGUUGAAAUUGAUCUUGGUUAACUGUUUGUGCCUUUUACAAUGAGUGUGUUUGAACAUAUCCUUUCUUUAAAGUGAGUGUGUUUGUACUGUAUUUUUUUUGUCUUGCCUGGAAUUGGAACUGUUUUGGUUUUGGAACUUUUGCAGAUGCAUGUUGGUGGAUGAGAAUGACAGUAUGGUUGGUCAUGAUUCGAAAUACAAUUGUCACUUGAUGGAAAAGAUUGAAGCUGAGAAUUUACUGUAAAGAGCUUUUUCUGUAUUCCUGUUCAACUCAAAGUAUGAGUUGCUUCUUCAUAUCAGGGUGGUGUUGAGGGGAAAAGACAAGUGGAUAAAGUCGUUGACAAAUGUGCUUCAAUGCAGAAUCUGCGUGAAGCAAUUGCCACCUAUCACAAUAGCAUUUUGUUGACAGCCUGAUGAGAUGAAAAGGGAGGCAUCACUAUCUUUUUUUGUGGAGUACCGGGAGAGAUACUACUUUUUAAUAUGUUUUGCUGUGUACAUUCAUUCAGAAAGGGCUGCACUCCAUUCUAAUACUGCUAAUCAUUGUAGUUUUGUUGACUAGAUGAGAGCAAGGUCCAUGGAUUAUGUUAGGCUCUAGUAAUCACUACUAGAUUUUGAGGUCCAAAACCUCCCGAGAAGAGAGAAAUAUAAAGGUCCUAAUGGAAAGAGGGAAAAUAUUCCUAAUGGCAGACAAGAUCAAGGAGUUGCCUCCCUGAUAGCCAGCUCAGCAGAAACGAUUAUAGGAAAUCUUUGAGGUAAGUAAAAAAGCUUCUCAUGUAGCUUGAAGACAGAUUCUUUAAGGCAGCCAAAUUUAAACUUGGCUUUAAUUCUCUAAAUAAAAUGGCAUGAUACUUAUUGUGCUCUCAAAGAUGAUGGAUAUGAUAUUGUCUACCAAAGGAUACCUUUAACAAGAGAAAGACAUGUUUUGGCCUCCGCCGUUGAUGCAACACAGUAUUGUCAACAUGAUUACUUAGGAACUGUAGCUUUUUCAGUUGUGAAUGCUUUUUUCUGGUUCCUAUCAUUCAAGUAUCAUCAAUGAUAUGUUCACGGGAACUCAAUAGAGAAGAGCCUUCUGGUUUGGGUGGUCCUCAGUGUG